AGGACGGGGGGCACGCCUGUGGGACGGCGCGCCGGAAUUGUCCGACUUCGAAGACCCAUUUCAGGUGGCUGGUCCGGUGCCCGACGGACCCGUCC
rfam:Jannaschia aquimarina strain GSW-M26 jaqu_contig000054, whole genome shotgun sequence.